GAUGAACGCUAGCUACAGGCUUAACACAUGCAAGUCGAGGGGAAACGGCAGCUUAGCUCGCUAAGCUGGACGUCGACCGGCGCACGGGUGAGUAACGCGUAUCCAACCUGCCCCACGGUGAGGGAUAACCCGCGGAAACGCGGCCUAAUACCUCAUGGCCUCCGAGCUUGACAUCAAUCUUGGAGUAAAGAUUCAUUGCCGUGGGAUGGGGAUGCGUCUGAUUAGCUUGUUGGCGGGGUAACGGCCCACCAAGGCAACGAUCAGUAGGGGUUCUGAGAGGAAGGUCCCCCACAUUGGAACUGAGACACGGUCCAAAACUCCUACGGGAGGCAGCAGUGAGGAAUAUUGGUCAAUGGGCGAGAGCCUGAACCAGCCAAGUAGCGUGCAGGACGACGGCCCUAUGGGUUGUAAACUGCUUUUAUAAGGGAAUAAAGUGAGUCUCGUGAGACUUUUUGCAUGUACCUUAUGAAUAAGGACCGGCUAAUUCCGUG
rnacentral:rRNA from 1 species